rnacentral:misc_RNA from 1 species
GAUGAAGAACGUAGCAAAAUGCGAUAAGUAAUGUGAAUUGCAGAAUUCAGUGAAUCAUCGAAUCUUUGAACGCACAUUGCGCCCGCCAGUAUUCUGGCGGGCAUGCCUGUUCGAGCGUCAUUUCAACCCUCAAGCACAGCUUGGUGUUGGGACUCGGGUUAAUUCGCGUUCCCCAAAUUGAUUGGCGGUCACGUCGAGCUUCCAUAGCGUAGUAGUAAAACCCUCGUUACUGGUAAUCGUCGCGGCCACGCCGUUAAACCCCAACUUCUGAAUGUUGACCUCGGAUCAGGUAGGAAUACCCGCUGAACUUAAGCAUAUCAAUAAGCGGAGGA